UUGCCCGUUAGCAACAAGUUUGCCAAAGAUGCCUGAAUUAUUAUAAGUUUCUCUCACAAUCUAUGAAUGCUAAAGAAGCUUUAGCUAUUUACUUGAGACAGUGGCUUCAGGCCCCACAGUUAUGGUAGCCAAAAUGGCCCCGCACCUAAAGGCCCUGUUACACGAAAGAAUAUUCAACAAGAAUAAUACUAUUUUAACAACACAAGAAUUUAUUCUUUGAAUAUUCUUUCUUGUAUUCUGAUGAAGAAUUUUUAAAGAAUAAUCCAUUUGUGUCAUCGUCCUAUUGUUUGAUAUUCUUCUCGAGGUGAAUUAAUUCAAACUAGUUGCAUUUUAAUCCUGACUUGAAGAAUAUUCUGACAAUGGAAAUGCGGAUGUGUACGGAUGUGAACUCUUUUCUGUGCUUUUGUAUGCGAGUUGAGCAACAAACAGGGGUGAAAUUGAUACCGGCAAAUGUUCUUAAGAUCUUUUUAAAAUACUAUUGCAGGAAAGAAUUGCAAAAAAUGUAGCCAAAACUUGCGAGGGUAGCUUAACUACGUUCAAGACGUUAUUGUAAGUUCCUUUUUCACAUAGCCCGGAAAACAUGGCUGUCGUAUAGUCUAUGACCGUGAGGAAGGCCAAUAGAAAACGAUUUAAAGAAAACGAUCAUUCUCAAACCCGCUUUAUUUUUUCUUUGGAAAGUUUCCAAAGCUUUUGAAUAUUGUAAGGAGGUACCUUACCAACCACCCAGAAUGGAAUCGACGGGGCGGUCCAUAUAGAUAGGGCAGAGAGUUUUAUUCUUUCUUGAAAAGAAUAGGUGCCAAGAUUAUUCUUUGAAGAAUUCUCCAUCGGAGUACAAGCAAAAAUGACAAAAGAAUAUCAUGAUUCUUGUUGAAUAUUCUUUCGUGUAACCAGGCCUUUAUAAAUGUUGUCAUCCAAAAUAACACCCCCUCUUUCAAACAACCUUUUAGUAAAACGUUCCCCUCUCCCACUUGAAAGAGAACUUUAUCGGAAAAUAGAGAAAAAAACAAAGAACACAUCUGAAUUAGGUAAUUAUUAAACUGGUUGCUGAUUGGGUCAAACAUCGUGACAAUGCUUCCAAGAGAAGCAAUUUUACCUUCAGAAGAUACAGAGGGAAGUUUUUGUGAUGUUCAUAUUGAAUCAAUUUAUACACUUUCAGUACAUUGUUGGCUGUUUUGUUUUAUUUUGUUAUUUAUAUCUUCAUUAGUUUUUUCUUAAUCGUGGAAUGUUUCAAUCUUCCCGCUCUUUUUAACUCCCUCUUCGAAAUAUUUAAAGGCAGUCUAUCCCCUUCGUGAUGCUCAGGUAAAUUAAGCUAUUCGUGGCUAUGAAAAGAGAUUCUGGUCAUUCUCCGGGUUACCCGUUUCUGCGUUCCCUAGCAGCCAGUAAUGUCAAUAAAACUGUUGCAAACGUGUUGAAAUACUUUGAAGUUUAGAUUUGCUUUCGAAGUAUUGCAGCAGGUUGAAAAAUUUUGGCGAAUCUAGGGCAAUGAGGUUUUUUGCUGUUUCUCUGUCUAGGCAAAAUAUUUUUUGGUUAUUCCUUGGCUUUGCCAUGCUAACAUUCAUCUAUUUGGGGAGGUAUUGUGAUCUAGUUAAUGGACAAAGUGGCAGUCUGUUUCGUGUAUGGUACAAAGUUGAUAUUGCAGACGAAACGUUUAAAAUUGCAACAUCAUGCAGAGUAUUUUCAAAAGAGGUAACGAUAGGGUCAUGGAAAGAGCGACCAGGUUUGACCAAAAAGGAUUACGUCAAAAGAAAAGAAAUGGAUGAAAUGAUAAGAGUGCGGAUGAACUGGCCUGCCAAACUCUAUCGCAACGACUCAAGGUGUGGAAAAGCAUAUCCAGUACCUGGAUACAGAAUACAAAGUCUUUGCAAUCCAGAAGGAGCUGUUCCAUGCUGCAAUGCAAAGAGUGGAGAAUGUGGUGACUCGGAAUAUCAUUGCAGGUGUGACGGAUGCACGGAUCUCCGCGAAUUUCAGUCAGCAGAGCUGGUAGAAUGGGUACCAGAAAAUCCGGACUGUGCAUUAAAAAACUUCACAACAGUGGAAGCAUGCGAUUUCUUAAACAAAUGGGAAAUCAAAAUGGCAUUUAUAGGAGAUUCUUUGGUGCGCCAGUUGUCAUCAGCAAUGCUGCUGCUGCUAUCGGGUGAUCCAAUGCUUGGGGCGAUGCCUGCCAGAGCCAGUGCAUCAGACUUAGAAAAAUGCAAAGGGGAAUUUCAAAUUACUGAUAAGGAUUGUAGCAUCUAUUCAGCCUCACAUUCUACUGCAGAUGCUAAAAACAAUUCAAUUUGCCAAGGCAACGUUAACUUCACUGUAAAAUCUGCACAGCUUUACGUCAAUAUCAUCAACAAUGAAACAUUGACCCUUAUCAAGAAGCAAUUAGGGGUGAAAAAUUCAUAUCUGGUUGUUGGGGUAGGACUGCACUUUUGGCUGCGAGUUGACUUGGUUAUAAAGGACUUCUUGUCUGUCAUACUGAAAAUGAUUGAAGAUAGAGGAAACGGGUGGCCGAGAAUCAUUUGGGUUGAGCUGCACAACAUUGAUGGCUUCUUAAGAAUAGAUACAAAGUUCCGUAAUGAUAAGAUAAAGACUUUUAAUAAAGAGAUUAAUGAAUAUCUCGAAAAAAGAAAUAUAACUGUUGUUAGAACUUAUGAAAUUAGUAAAAAAUUGAAAAGUUACGAUGGACAGCACUAUGGGGUAGGGUUUAAUCUUUUUAAAAUCAAUUUGUUGUUUAACACAUUAAGUAGACUAGUAGAAAUAGCUUAAAAUACAAGUAGCCGAAUUCUUAUCAAAUGUAUUUUUCUAUGGACAAAUUUGCUAUGUAAAGUAUAUUGUUUCUGUAAUAUAUUUGGAUUCCAUUAUUUGCGGUUAUUCUUGAAAUUUGUCAGUAACUGAAAUGUUUUCAACAUGGAGGGUGUUAAGACUCGUGUUAAAUUUAACAGCCAUGUCAUGUUUGUUGAAGACAGAAAACCCAUGAAAAGAAAAUAGAUGUAAUUUGGCCUUGGCUAUAGUUCAGCAUUCACUUGACAAUCAAAGUGCACCGUAAAAAUAUGCUUGGUUGGCGUAGAUUUCACCUUUGGCCCGACAUAGAAAACGUAUGCAAAUGCAUUAUUGCAAGUCUUUCAAAGCAUCACCCUAGGAUUUUUGAACAAAAGAUCCUCACUUGUGUAGAUAGAAAGAGUUAAAUUUUAAAUCAAACAAACAAUUCGGUCUCUCGCGUUGAUUGUGAACCGCAUCUGAUCGCUUAACACAGUGCAAAUGGAACAGAAAGAUCAUGUAGCCAUGGCCAUUACGAUAAUGCUUUAUUUUCUCGAUUACGCAGGACUUUUAUAAACUCAAGCACUUUCUAGGAAGGGCUGUAUUCGUGGGGCGUUGCUUUUAUAACUUUUUUUAAGACAAACGUUUAGAACGGGAGCAGUUUUCAUAAUGCCAACCAAAACAUCUUCCAACCAAUUCGAGUCAUCAAAUACUAUGUCUGAAUGUCCCAAAAACAAUAUUUUAAGAAUAAUGCUCAUCUGGUCUCUCUUUCCAGGCAGUUCCAGAGUUUCACAGCACGAUAAGAAAAGGCCUUUCGGCUAUUGGCAAUUUCAUUUAAGAUAUUCUAAGAUCAGUUUCAGAUGAGUGGAAAACCGUUCUCAAAAUCUUGGGAAAGCAAGUUAGUUACAAGAUGAACACGAUGCUGAAAAGCAGAGAAGCUUCGUAUUAGCUGCUUGUUACAAUCCUUGCUGCUCUAUUCAGGAUUUUUGCAAGCAUUGACUUUUCAUAAGGAUCAAUUGUGACUCAAAAGUCGCUGAAAAAUUUUCUACUUUCGUUUAUUGCCUGUCCGAGUUCCUGAUCACAAAUUACUAAAAAUUUGCUGCUGGAUUCUCAGAAAGUUUCGAAGUAUUUCGUAAAACUCUUCCAGAUUAUAAGACGUAAAGACAAUAAUUCUAUAAAUUGAUUUUGUGACGUCAUCACUCUUUUGAAAGAGCUGAGAUAUUAGUUAAAUUAAUGCGGGGGUUCUUCGAUGGCGGCGUUUAAUAUAAUAUUAAUGUUAGUCAAGCACAAACUAUUAUUGUUCAGUGCGCGAAAAUCGUCGCAAAGCUAAAUAAUAUGGGGCACAUGCAUUUAACUGGCGUUGCCAUGGUAGCUCCCUUCGUCCUCGAAAAUAUUUACUUGAAAGAUAACAAUAUGUUCGUGAUAUAGUCGAAUAAUCGCGCAUAAAACUCAAGGCUUUAAGAUAAGGAAAACAUCCCUCAGCAAGUAGCUAGCUGUCAUGGGCAAUCUUUUGACACCUACUGUCUUCGUGCCCUUUAUAGGUUUUUUCAUCGUCCUCAUGAUCUAUGAUAGAUUACCCAGUAGCACUUAUCGGCCUGCAUUUUACAAAAACGUUGACGUUUGCAAGUUACUUCGAGGCUUAUCAGAAGAAGAGGAAAUGAAUAAAUGUCAACCAAGGGUGUGCCUAAAUGUUAUUCCGGAUGCAACAGAGGGUAGAUGGAUAGAAAAGCGGGAUCUUACUCAAGAGGAAGUAUCAUACAGGAAGAAUAUGGAUAGAGAUAUCAGAUUAAAGAUGAAAGUUCCUUGGCCUACAAGUCUAUUUCGAAAUGAUUCCAAGUGUGGUAAGAAAUAUCCGAUCCCUGGACAUGAUCUGCAAGGAGCGUGUGACCCAGAAAGCACUUCGCCUUGCUGUAAUCACGUCACUGGUUACUGUGGCAACAAGACAGAAGACUGCAAUUGUUCCCAAUGCACCGACUUCAGAAAAUAUAAUUCUGCUGAGAUCUCAGAAUGGGUUCCAAGUGACACCUGCUGUAGAGUAAAAAAUUUCACCAAAGAUAUGGCAUGCAGUUUUCUAAACAAGCAUUCCAUCAGCAUAGCUUUUAUUGGUGACUCUGUUAUAAGACAGUUAUCAAGAACAAUGUUUCUGCUCUUAAGUGGAAAUCUACAUUCAGGGGCAAUGCCUGGCAAAGCAACGGACGAAGAGCGAGCGUUUUGUUAUGCGGAUCACCAAAUAGCUAUCAAAAAAUGCAACUUGGAAAUCGUAGCACACAAAUUAGAGGAGCUGCCACCAAGGUCCAUUUGCAACGGCAAGGUGAACUUCAAUCUUGAUUUGGUUGAAAAUUACAAGAAAUAUUUACAAGAUAAAGAUAUGGAGCAAAUACGAAAGUAUCUCAAAAGGGAAGACUCGUACGUUGUGCUUGCAGUGGGGCUUCAUUAUCGGCUUGAUCUUAACAAAGUUAUCGAUCUCUACGUAAAGAAAGUUCUGGACGUUAUAGAAACGGAGGGAAAUGGUUGGCCUAAAGUUAUAUGGAUGGGAAUACAUGCUGUUCCAGAUUUCUUGCUGAUGAAUCCUCUCUUUCAUAAUGCUGGUAUAUUGGAAUUCAAUAAUAAAAUACACAACUAUUUAAUGAGAAGAGGUGUUGCAGUCAUAGAUACAUUUAACAUGAGCAAAAGCCUCUUUAGCUAUGACGGGCUCCAUUACGGGAUCGGACUAAACUUUCUCAAAAUACAAAUCUUACUCAAUUAUUUAGAAGAGAAGUAUGAAAGAUGUGAUAUCUAUUAAGUAGCAAAUGUAUGACCUCGUUUUUCAUGAGAUCGUUAUUUUUUAACCGGUAUAUGGUAAAUGAAAUUGUAGUGCAAAUUUCAAAAUUGAAGACUUACCUAGACUUAAUCAAAAAAUUACGCUUUUGAUUUGAAUCAACAGACAAUUAAUCCGAUGUAGCGAUCGGAAAGCGAGGCACUAGCAAAACAGAGGCCCUUAGAAGUAAGUCUUGCCAUAGCAGCAAAAGAGAGCAAAACUAUAAAUUUUAAAGGGCAAAGGAAAAGAUUGUCACGGAAAAUUUUAGAAAGAAGUAAGUUAGCAGAUUGCAAAGUCCUCUAUUUUUCAUAAUUGUACUGCAUCUUAGGUUCUUAUAAUGCACGUUUAAUUUCUCCAUGACAUGAGCCAGUGAAAUCAUCAGAUCAUUUUUGAUAGAAGACCCCUUGAUGAAAGCUCAGUAUCUCGGUAAUUAAUUGUAAAUAGAAGAGCUCUUGCUAAUCAAGAUUAACUUU